GAUGAAGAACGCAGCGAAUUGCGAUAUGUAAUGUGAAUUGCAGAAUUCAGUGAAUCAUCGAGUCUUUGAACGCACAUUGCGCCCCCUGGUAUUCCGGGGGGCAUGCCUGUCCGAGCGUCAUUGCUGCCCUCAAGCACGGCUUGUGUGUUGGGCCUCCGUCCUCCUCCCGGGGGACGGGCCCGAAAGGCAGCGGCGGCACCGCGUCCGGUCCUCGAGCGUAUGGGGCUUCGUCACCCGCUCUUGUAGGCCCGGCCGGCGCUUGCCGACACAUCAAUCUUUUUUCCAGGUUGACCUCGGAUCAGGUAGGGAUACCCGCUGAACUUAAGCAUAUCAAUAAGCGGAGGA
rnacentral:misc_RNA from 1 species